rnacentral:rRNA from 1 species
GACGAACGCUGGCGGCGUGCUUAACACAUGCAAGUCGAGCGGACAGGCCCUUUCGUGGCUACUCGAGCGGCGAACGGGGGCGUAAGAGUAGCGUAAGCUGCCCUUCCCUUUGGGACAAGCUCCGGAACCGGAGGCCAAUACCCGUACCGAACAUUCCUUGCAUGCGCAGGGGGUGGUAGUUUAAUCGGUGGGGGAUGUGCCUGCGGCCUAGCAGCUUGUUGGAGGGGUAAGGGGCUACCAAGGCUUCGACGGGUAGCCGGCCUGAGAGGGUGACCGGCGACACUGGGACUGAGACACGGCCCAGACUGCUACGGGAGGCAGCAGUGGGGAAUAUGGGACAAUGGGCGGAAGCCUGAGCCAGCAACGCCGCGUGAGGGAUGACGGCCUUCGGGUUGUAAACCUCUUUCACCUGUGACGAAGCGAAAGUGACGGUAGCAGGAGAAGAAGCACCGGCCAACUACGUG